CUCUGUUCUAGCUCCAAGGUGAAUCUUCACUGCUCAUGUUCUCCUCAGAAGCACUCACCUCACUCCCCUCAGGUUACUGUACACAUGCACCAACUGCCUGCUUCAGGUUUGGAUGGAGCUUCAUGGUUGUCUUUUGGAGAAAUGACCAGUCAAGUUGUGUUUGAAAUUUGAUUUUUUUCAGGGGCAAAAGGAGCCUCUGCAUUCUUGUCAAAUAUGUAAAUAGCAUGUUUUUGCAGGUGCUAAAAACCAGACUCUGAGUGUGUGUGUGUGUGUGUGUGUGUGUGUGUGUGUGUGUGUGCGUGUGUGUGUGUCUGUGUGUGCGUUCAAGUCACAUGACAUAUUUAACCGGAUGUAGCUGCAAGACGGAGCCUCGUUGACUCUCCGUUUCAACUUAUCUCAAAAGUGAGGACCUCAACCUAUAUACCAGUUUUUAAAUUGUGUUGAUAGGCCAAAUAAAACCAGAGUUAUGAUAAAUUAUGUCCGCGAUACUUUUUUUCUGCUUAUUUUGAUCACGUUCGGCGCUCGCUCGCGCUGUAUGAGACAGGAAAACAUAGCAUGCAGACAUUAGCGACAGGUCUUACAGGCGGAAAAGGCUUGCCAAAAGAAAAAAAAAACACACCACAACAUCUCUCCUAUUGGUGGAAAACUUCACCACAACAACCAAUCCAAAAUUAUAUGGUGACUGAUUGACAAGGGGCUGGCGCUUACGUUCUUCCUGCAACAUGAGAAGCGAGGGAGGGACUCUCAGCAGGGAUGCAGUCUGGGACACGUAGUUGCAAACCUAGCGACUUUGUUGUUAGAUUCAAUGACUUUUCAGACCCCCUAACGACUUUUUUUUAGAAAGAAAGGGACUUUUAUCGACUUCUUCUGGAGAUUAGAGACUCUGACAUGAAGCAGGCUUUCCUUACUGAGGAGUUAGCAACGCUGCUAAGGGUGCAGAGCCACACAUGCGCUCAGAGCUCUGCAUGGGAGACUGAAGCUGACAGAGCUGCAGCAGUUAGCAGGUUUCACCCUCAGAGACCACCAGGGGUUCAUGUUGAGGCAUUUAAAUUUUUUUUUUUUUUGUGCCAUAGACACUGUCAGCACAAUCUGCAGUUACACUAACAAAAAUGCUGCAAAAAACAAAGAAUUAUGGAAAAAUUACACAUGGACUGACAUAGAGGAGGAUCUACACAAGUUUUUUACAUCAUGUUUUACAUCAUGCAUCAUUUACAUCAUGUUUUUUUGUAGUGGCAUAAAUAAAAAGUGACAUUUGUGAGACUAUACAGUGUUUUGUAAAUAAUUUUACAAAGAACGCCUGGGCCAUUGCCUGCAUUUUGAUGUAAAUAGAGGUAAAUCACUAUGUUCUUUGUUAAAAAUUUGCAUAUGUUUUGAAGUUUACAAUUUUUAUUUGAAGUCUAAGUUUUAAAAACAGUUCAUCACACAUAUUUGUGGUUUUCACAGUAAAAAUGUUACUUUUUUCCACUCGGAUUUUAUGUUUUGUGUGUGAAUUUGGGUCCAUUGUGUAAAUUCAGUAUGUCAACAUGAUAAAAUAACUGUAAAUUCGCACAGGUGAGGUUGGGCUGAAAAAAAUGAUACCAGGCAAGGCACGUGAUUGUCAAAUUUUGUGUCAAUAUGACAAAGCGUAUAGGCGUGAAUCUCAACAAUAUGUAUUUUCACCUUAGGGGACAAGAAAAAAUGGACUUUUUUCUCCUGCCAUGGGGGGCGCUCUUUUGGGGAGUAAAAAUUCCUUCACAAAUGUGUUGAUGGCUGGACAUUGCAUCAUCCUAGAAAACUUGGAGGCCAGUGAGGACAAAAAUAAAAAGUUAUAAGACUUUUAAAUAUGUGGAUUUUAGGGUUAUCUUUGGCGCCCCCUAGAACCUAAACCGUGGGGUGCAGCGUCAUGAUUUGAAUAACUUUUAAUGGCCAUGGGGUGUAGAUUGGCCUGAGCAAAUGUGGUGCCGGUGGAACGAAAGCCUUAGAGGAGUUAGCCACAUUCCAAUGUGUGCGGAUCGGCAAAAAAUGCGGAAUAACCCUUUAACCGUACAUUUGACAGAUACGCACGCAUUGACUUUUUCGUAGAUCUUAUUGAGUUACAUGUGUGUGUCAAUUUUUGUGUAAUUUUGACAAAGCGUAUAGGCGUGACACUCAACAAUGUGUAUUUUCACCUUAGGGGACAAGAAAAAAUGGACUUUUUUCUCCUGCCAUGGGGGGGCGCUCUUUUGGUGAGUAAAAAUUCCUUCACAAAUGUGUUGAUGGCUGGACAUUGCAUCAUCCUAGAAAACUUGGAGGCCAGUGAGGACAAAAAUAAAAAGUUAUAAGACUUUUAAAUAUGUGGAUUUUAGUGUUAUCUUUGGCGCCCCCUAGAACCUAAACCUUGGGGUGCAGCGUCAUGAUUUUGAUAACUUUUAAUGGCCACGGGGUGUAGAUUGGCCUGAGCAAAUGUGGUGCCGGUGGAACGAAAGCCUUCGGAGGAGUUAGCGAAAUUCCAAUGUGUGCGGAUCGGCAAAAAAUGCGAAAUAACCCUUUAACCGUAAUUUUGACAGAUACGGCCGCACUGACUUUUUUGUAGAUCUUAUUGAGAUACAUAUGUGUGUCAAUUUUUGUGUCAAUAUGACAAAGCGUACAGGCGUGACAGUCAAUAGUGUGAAUUUCCACCUUAGGGGGCGCUAUGGAGCCAUUUUGCAUUUUAUUGUUUGGGCGACUUCAGAAUAUCGAAUUUUUCACCAGGCCCAGUCGUCCUGCCAAAUUUCAUGAGUUUUCGCCAGUGGGAAGAGGGCCAUUUUCCAGUUCAAAGGGGAGGAAAAAGAAGAAAGAAAGAAAGAACUAGGGCCCCGGUGGGGCACUGUCGGGCCCGAGCCGCGUCGCGCCGCCCCCAGCGUGACCGCCUCCCCCUCCCAAUCGCGUCACACUCAAGGUCCAAAGAUGGUGUGCGCACUUGUCUGUAGUCAUUUCCCAUUAUAAUGAAUGGGAGGCGCAGUUUCUACCAAAACACUCGCUGCAGACAAACUUCAUGUCCUAUUUGAAAAAAGUCUGGACCAUGAGUGAGGGCACAAACACAGCUGGGAUAUAUAUCCAAAUGGCAGGUUGCUCCUCCUUACGGUUUUGCCUGGAGAGCGAUGCGAUUGAGCCAUUGAGCGAUGGGCAGGAAAAACUUGACUUUUGCUCGUGCCAUGGGGGGGGGGAAUGUGGAUUCUUUUAAGAAUGUGGAUUUUUGGGUCAUCUUUGGCGCCCCCUAGAACGUAAACCGUGGGGUGCAGCGUCAUGAUUUUUACAACUUUGAAUGGUCAUGGGGUGUAGAUUGGCCUGAGCAAAUUUGGUUUCAGUGGGACGAAAGCCUUAGGAGGAGUUAGCCACAUUCCAAUGUGUGCGAAUCGGCAAAAAAUAAAAAAUAGCCCUCUAACCGUACAUUUGACAGAUACGCAUGCAUUGACUUUUUCGUAGAUCUUAUUGAGAUACACGUGAUUGUCAAAUUUUGUGUCAAUAUGACAAAGCGUACAGGUGUCACACUCAACAAUGUGAAUUUUCACCUUACGGGACAAGAAAAAAUUGACUUUUUUCUCCUGCCAUGGGGGGGGCGCUCUUUUGGGGAGUAAAAGUUCCUUCACAAAUGUGUUGAUGGCUGGACAUUGCAUCAUCCUAGAAAACUUGGAGGCCAGUGAGGACAAAAAUAAAAAGUUAUAAGACUUUGAAAUAUGUGGAUUUUAGGGUUAUCUUUGGCGCCCCCUAGAACCUAAACCGUGGGGUGCAGCGUCAUGAUUUGAAUAACUUUUAAUGGCCAUGGGGUGUAGAUUGGCCUGAGCAAAUGUGGUGCCGGUGGAACGAAAGCCUUCGGAGGAGUUAGCGAAAUUCCAAUGUGUGCGGAUCGGCAAAAAAUGCGGAAUAACCCUUUAACCGUACAUUUGACAGAUAUGCGCGCAUUGACUUUUUCGUAGAUCUUAUUGAGAUACACGUGUGUGUCAAUUUUUGUGUCAUUUUGCCAAAGCGUACAGGCGUGACACUCAACAAUGUGUAUUUUCACCUUAGGGGUCAAGAAAAAAUGGACUUUUUUCUCCUGCCAUGGGGGGGCGCUCUUUUGGGGAGUAAAAAUUCCUUCACAGAUGUGUUGAUGGCUGGACAUUGCAUCAUCCUAGAAAACUUGGAGGCCAGUGAGGACAAAAAUAAAAAGUUAUAAGACUUUUAAAUAUGUGGAUUUUAGGGUUAUUUUUGGCGCCCCCUAGAACAUAAACCGUGGGGUGCAGCAUCAUGAUUUGAAUAACUUUGAAUGGCCAUGGGGUGUAGAUUGGCCUGAGCAAAUGUGGUGCCGGUGGAACUAAAGCCUUCGGAGGAGUUAGCGAAAUUCCAAUGUGUGCAGAUCUGCAAAAAAUGCAAAAUAACCCAUUAACCGUACAUUUGACAGAUACGCCCGCACUGACUUUUUUGUAGAUCUUAUUGAGAUACAUGUGUGUGUCAAUUUUUGUGUCAAUAUGACAAAGCGUACAGCCGUCAUGUGAAUUUUCACCUUAGGGGGCGCUAUGGAGCCAUUUUGCAUUUUAUUGUUUGGGCGACUUCGGAAUAUCAAAUUUUUCACCAGGCCCGGUCGUCUUGCCAAAUUUCAUGAGUUUUCGCCAGUGGGAAGUGGGCCAUUUUCCAGUUCAAAGGGGAGGAAAAAGAAAAAAGAAACAAAGAAAACUAGGGCCCCGUUGGGGCACUGGCGGGCCCGAGCCGUGUCGCGCUGCCCCCCCCAACGCGCUGCCUCCCCGUCCCAUUCGCGUCCUCUCUGGUAACGCCCAUCACUGCAAAGACCCUUUCCUUCAUCGGCGUUUGCUGUUGUUCCUGCCAGUGCGUGUUGCUUUCACUUACACUUGCCACAGCCAGCCUCGUGAGUGCCUAGCCUAUUGGAUAUCACUGUCAUCUACACAGGACAGUCAUAACCUUUCUAUUAAUACUUUGUUUUUUAAUUUCACAUUAAUUUCCAUAUUGUAUAAAUGACUGGAAAAAACUUGAGCCCCUGCCCCUGUAUAAUCAUGUGCACGUCCCUGUUCUAGCUCCAAGGUGAAUCUUCACUGCUCAUGUUCUCCUCAGAAAUAGUCACCUCACUCCCCUCAGGUUACUGUACACAUGCACCAACUAUCUGCUUCAGGUUUGGAUGGAGCUUCAUGGUUGUCUUUUGGAGAAAUGACCAGUCAAGUUGUGUUUGAAAUUUGAUUUUUUUCAGGGGCAAAAGGAAGCCUCUGCAUUCUUGUCAAAUAUGUAAACAGCAUGUUUUUGCAGGUGCUAAAAAACAGACUCUGAGUGUGUGUGUGUGUGUGUGUGUGUGUGUGUGUGUGUGUGUGUGUGUGUGUGUGUGUGUGUGUGUGUUGGCGUGUGUGUAUAUGUGUGUGUAUCCUGCAGUACUCUGUACUCCUGCAGUGGCCAAAAAGACUUUUAAGAAUGUGGAUUUUUGGGUCAUCUUUGGCGCCCCCUAGAACUGCAGUACUCUGUACUCCUGCAGUGGCCAAAAUGACUUGUAAGAAUGUGGAUUUUUGGGUCAUCUUUGGCGCCCCCUAGAACUGCAGUACUCUGUACUCCUGCAGUGGCCAAAAGGACUUUUAAGAAUGUGGAUUUUUGGGUCAUCUUUGGCGCCCCCUAGAACGUAAACCGUGGGGUGCAGCGUCAUGAUUUUUACAACUUUGAAUGGGCAUGGGGUGUAGAAUGCCCUGAGCAAAUUUGGUAUCAGUGGGACGAAAGCCUUAGGAGGAGAUAGCCACAUUCCAAUGUGUGCGAAUCGGCAAAAAAUGCGAAAUAGCCCUUUAACCGUACAUUAUACAGAUACGCGCUCUUUGACUUUUUCGUAGAGCUAAUUGAGAUACACAUGAUUGUCAAUUUUUGUGUCAAUAUGACAAAGCGUUCAGGCGUGACACUCAACAAUGUGUAUUUUCAUGUAAGGGGACAAGAAAAAAUUGACUUUUUUCUCCUGCCAUGGGGGGGCGCUCUUUUGGGGAGUAAAAAUUCCUUCACAAAUGUGUUGAUGGCUGGACAUUGCAUCAUCCUAGAAAACUUGGAGGCCAGUGAGGACAAAAAUAAAAAGUUAUAAGACUUUUAAGAAUGUGGAUUUUUGGGUUAUCUUUGGCGCCCCCUAGAACCUAAACCGUGGGGUGCAGCGUCAUGAUUUGUACAACUUUGAAUGGCCAUGGGGUGUAGACUGGCCUGAGCAAAUGUGGUGCCGGUGGAACGAAAGCCUUCGGAGGAGUUAGCGAAAUUCCAAUGUGUGCGGAUCGGCAAAAAAUGCGAAAUAACCCUUUAACCGUACAUUUGACAGAUACGCCCGCACUGACUUUUUUGUAGAUCUUAUUGAGAUACAUAUGUGUGUCAAUUUUUGUGUCAAUAUGACAAAACGUACAGACGUGACAGUCAAUAGUGUGAAUUUCCACCUUAGGGGGCGCUAUGGAGCCAUUUUGCAUUUUAUUGUUUGGGCGACUUCAGAAUAUCGAAUUUUUCACCAGGCCCGGUCGUCCUGCCAAAUUUCAUGAGUUUUCGCCAGUGGGAAGUGGGCCAUUUUCCAGUUUAAAGCGGAGGAAAAAUAAUAAUAAUAAUAACUAGGGCCCCGUUGGGGCACUGGCGGGCCCGAGCCGUGUCGCGCUGCCCCCCCCAACGCGCUGCCUCCUUGUCCCAUUCGCGUCCUCUGGCCAUCGCCCUCUCUGGUAACGCCCAUCACUGCAAAGACUCUUUCCUUCAUCGGCGUUUGCUGUUCUUCCUGCCAGUGCGUGUUGCUUUCACUUACACUUGCCACAGCCAGCCUCGUGAGUGCCUAGCCUAUUGGAUAUCACUGUCAUCUACACAGGACAGUCAUAACCUUUCUAUUAAUACUUGUUUUUUAAUUUCACAUUAAUUUCAAUAUUGUAUAAAUGACUGGAAAAAACUUGAGCCCCUGCCCCUGUAUAAUCAUGUGCACGUCCCUGUUCUAGCUCCAAGGUGAAUCUUCACUGCUCAUGUUCUCCUCAGAAGUAGUCACCUCACUUUCCUCAGGUGACUGUACACAUGCACCAACUGCCUGCUUCAGGUUUGGAUGGAGCUUCAUGGUUGUCUUUUGGAGAAAUGAGCAGUCAAGUUGUGUUUGAAAUUUGAUUUUUUUCAGGGGCAAAAAGGGGCCUCUGCAUUCUAGUCAAAUAUGUAAAUAGCAUGUUUUUGCAGGUGCUAAAAAAAAGACUCUGAGUGUGUGUGUGUGUAUAUCCUGCAGUACUCUGAGAAGAAUAAUAAGCAUAUUUCUGAGGUGAAUUUUGAAGAUUCAUCUGAGAGUUAGGAGGGCUGAUCAUUCCCUUACCCUUUAGAUGUCUGUCUAUGUCUGUUUUUGUGUGAUAAUGAAAGAAUCCCAACUCAAAAAGGCUCUGUUGAUGUUUUUUUUUUGUUGUUGUUCAUUCAUAUUCAAACCACUAUUUUAUAUCACUGCUAAUACGCCAAGACCAUUUUAUGGAAUUUAGCUUUAUUAUUUCUAUACAUUUUGCAAGGAAAGAAACCAAGGCCUUCACUAAAAUUUCCAUAAACUUUAGGAAAGGACCUCUGGUUGUUUAACGGGGUCAUUACUGCAAAAACAUAUUCUUCCUAAAUUUUGAAGGUCAAACCUUAGAUCCAUUAGGUUUAAAUAGAAAAAGCAUUAAAAUAUGUUAGGAUUAUAGCAUAUGACAAAUAUGUGCCUUUCAGUGGCCACAACUACUUUGUCUGCUGGCUCUGCAGUCGAUUGACGCUCCCCAGCAUUCAAGUCACAUUACAUAUUUAACCGGAUGUAGCAGCAAGACGGAGCCUCGUUGACUCUCCGUUUCAACUUAUCUCAAAAGUGAGGACCUCAAACUAUACACCAGUUUUCAAAUUGUGUUGAUAGGCCAAAUAAAACCAGAGUUAUGAUAAAUUAUGUCCGCGAUACUUUUUUUCUGCUUAUUUUGAUCACGUUCGGCGCUCGAUCGCGCUGUAUGAGACAGGAAAACAUAGCAUGCAGACAUUAGCGACAGGUCUUACAGGCGGAAAAGGCUUGCCAAAGAAAAAAAAAAACACACCACAACAUCUCUCCUAUUGGUGGAAAACUUCACCACAACAACCAAUCCAAAAUUAUAUGGUGACUGAUUGACAAAGGGGCGGGCGCUUACGUUCUUCCUGCAACAUGAGAAGGGAGGGAGGAACUCUCAGCAGGGAUGCAGUCUGGGACACGUAGUUGCAAACCUAGCGACUUUGUUGUUAGAUUCAAUGACUUUUCAGACCCCCUAACGACUUUUUUUUAGAAAGAAAGGGACUUUUAUCGACUUCUUCUGGAGUUUAGAGACUCUGACAUGAAGCAGGCUUUCCUUACUGAGGAGUUAGCAACGCUGCUAAGGGUGCAGAGCCACACAUGCGCUCCGAGCUCUGCAUGGGAGACUAAAGCUGACAGAGCUGCAGCAGUUAGCAGGUUUCACCCUCAGAGACCACCAGGGGUUCAUGUUGAGGCAUUUUCAGUUUUUUUUUUUUUUUGCCAUAGACACUGUCAGCACAAUCUGCAGUUACACUAACAAAAAUGCUGCAAAAAACAAAGAAUUAUGGAAAAAUUACACAUGGACUGACAUAGAGGAGGAUCUACACAAGUUUUUUGCAUCAUGUUUUACAUCAUGCAUCAUUUACAUCAUGUUUUUUUGUAGUGGCAUAAAUAAAAAUUGACAUUUGUGAGACUAUACAGUGUUUUGUAAAUAAUUUUACAAAGAACGCCUGGGCCAUUGCCUGCAUUUUGAUGUAAAUAGAGGUAAAUUACUAUGUUCUUUGUUAAAAAUUUGCAUAUGUUUUGAAGUUUACAAUUUUUAUUUGAAGUUUAAGUUUUAAAAACAGUUCAUCACACAUAUUUGUGGUUUAAUUUCACAUUAAUUUCCAUAUUGUAUAAAUGACUGGAAAAAACUUGAGCCCCUGCCCCUGUAUAAUCAUUUGCACGUCCCUGUUCUAGCUCCAAGGUGAAUCUUCACUGCUCAUGUUCUCCUCAGAAAUAGUCACCUCACUCCCCUCAGGUUACUGUACACAUGCACCAACUAUCUGCUUCAGGUUUGAAAUGGAGCUUCAUGGUUGUCUUUUGGAGAAAUGAACAGUCAAGUUGUGUUUGAAAUUUGAUUUUUUUCAGGGGCAAAAGGAAGCCUCUGCAUUCUUGUCAAAUAUGUAAACAGCAUGUUUUUGCAGGUGCUAAAAAACAGACUCUGAGUGUGUGUGUGUGUCUGUGUGUGUGUGUGUGUGUGUGUGUGUAUGUUGGUGUGUGUGUAUAUGUGUGUGUAUCCUGCAGUACUCUGUACUCCUGCAGUGGCCAAAAUGACUUUUAAGAAUGUGGAUUUUUUUGGUCAUCUUUGGCGCCCCCUAGAACGUAAACUGUGGGGUGCAGCGUCAUGAUUUUUACAACUUUGAAUGGGCAUGGGGUGUAGAUUGCCCUGAGCAAAUUUGGUAUCGGUGGGACGAAAGCCUUAGGAGGAGAUAGCCACAUUCCAAUGUGUGCGAAUCGGCAAAAAAUGCAAAAUAGCCCUUUAACCGUACAUUAUACAGAUACGCGCUCUUUGACUUUUUCGUAGAUCUUAUUGAGACACACCUGUGUGCCAAAUUUUGUGUCAUUUUGACAAAGUGUAGAGGCGUGACACUCAACAAUGUGUAUUUUCACCUUAGGGGACAAGAAAAAAUGGACUUUUUUCUCCUGCCAUGGGGGGGCGCUCUUUUGGGGAGUAAAAAUUCCUUCACAAAUGUGUUGAUGGCUGGACAUUGCAUCAUCCUAGAAAACUUGGAGGCCAGUGAGGACAAAAAUAAAAAGUUAUAAGACUUUUAAAUAUGUGGAUUUUAGGGUUAUCUUUGGCGCCCCCUAGAACCUAAACCGUGGGGUGCAGCGUCAUGAUUUGAAUAACUUUUAAUGGCCAUGGGGUGCAGAUUGGCCUGAGCAAAUGUGGUGCCGGUGGAACAAAAGCCUUCGGAGGAGUUAGCGAAAUUCCAAUGUGUACGGAUCGCCAAAAAAUGCGAAAUAGCCCUUUAACCGUACAUUUGACAGAUACGGCCGCACUGACUUUUUUGUAGAUCUUAUUGAGAUACAUAUGUGUGUCAAAUUUUGUGUCAUUUUGACAAAGCGUACAGGCGUGACAGUCAAUACUGUGAAUUUCCACCUUAGGGGGCGCUAUGGAGCCAUUUUGCAUUUUAUUGUUUGGGCGACUUCAGAAUAUCAAAUUUUUCACCAGGCCCGGUCGUCCUGCCAAAUUUCAUGAGUUUUCGCCAGUGGGAAGUGGGCCAUUUUCCAGUUUAAAGGGGAGGAAAAAUAAUAAUAAUAACACUAGGGCCCCGGUGGGGCACUGUAGGGCCCGAGCCGCGUCGCGCCGCCCCCAGCGCGACCGCCUCCCCCUCCCGAUCGCAUCACACUCAAGGUCCAAAGAUGGUGUGCGCACUUGUCUGUGGUCAUUUCCCAUUAUAAUGAAUGGGAGGCGCAGUUUCUACCAAAACGCUCGCUGCAGACAAACUACAUGUCCUAUUUGAAAAAAGUCUGGACCAUGAGUGAGGGCACAAACACAGCUAGGAUAUAUCCAAACGGCAAGUUGCUCCUCCUUACGGUGUUGCCAGGAGAGCGAUGCGAUUGAGCCAUUGAGCGAUGGGCAGGGUUAACUGGACUUUUUCUCCUGCCUUGGGGGGGGGGGGAUGUGGAUUCUUUUAAGAAUGUGGAUAUUUGGGUCAUCUUUGGCGCCCCCUAGAACGUAAACCAUGGGGUGCAGCGGCAUGAUUUUUACAACUUUGAAUGGCCAUGGGAUGUAGAUCGGCUUGAGCAAAUUUGGUGUCGGUGGGAAGAAAGCCUUAGGAGGAGUUAGCCACAUUCCAAUGUGUGCGAAUCGGCAAAAAAUGCGAAAUAGCCCUUUAACCGUACAUUUUACAGAUACGUGCCCAUUGACUUUUUCGUAGAUCUUAUUGAGAUACACGUGUGUGUCAAAUUUUGGGUCAAUAUGACAAAGCGUAUAGGCGUGACACUCAACAAUGUGUAUUUUCACCUUAGGGGACAAGAAAAAAUGGACUUUUUUCUCCUGCCAUGGGGGGGCGCUUUUUUCGGGAGUAAAAAUUCCUUUACAAAUGUGUUGAUGGCUGGACAUUGCAUCAUCCUAGAAAACUUGGAGGCCAGUAAGGACAAAAAUAAAAAGUUAUAAGACUAUUAAGAAUGUGGAUUUUUGGGUUAUCUUUGGCGCCCCCUAGAACCUAAACCGUGGAGUGCAGCGUCAUGAUUUGUACAACUUUCAAUGGCCAUGGGGUGUAGAUUGGCCUGAGCAAAUUUGGUGGCGGUGGAACUAAAGCCUUCGGAGGAGUUAGCGAAAUUCCAAUGUGUGCGGAUCGGGAAAAAAUGCGAAAUAACCCUUUAACCGUACAUUUUACAGAUACGUGCCCAUUGACUUUUUCGUAGAUCUUAUUGAGAUACACGUGAUUGUCAAAUUUUGGGUCAAUAUGACAAAGCGUAUAGGAGUGACACUCAACAAUGUGUAUUUUCACCUUAGGGGACAAGAAAAAAUGGACUUUUUUCUCCUGCCAUGUGGGGGCGCUCUUUUGGGGAGUAAAAAUUCCUUCACAAAUGUGUUGAUGGCUGGACAUUGCAUCAUCCUAGAGAACUUGGAGGCCAGUGAGGACAAAAAUAAAAAGUUAUAAGACUUUUAAGAAUGUGGAUUUUUUGGUUAUCUUUGGCGCCCCCUAGAACCUAAACCGUAGGGUGCAGCGUCAUGAUUUGUACAACUUUCGAUGGCCAUGGGGUGUAGAUUGGCCUGAGCAAAUGUGGUGCCGGUGGAACGAAAGCCUUCGGAGGAGUUAGCGAAAUUUCAAUGUGUGCGGAUCGGCAAAAAAUGCGAAAUAACCCUUUAACCGUACAUUUGACAGAUACGCCCGCACUGACUUUUUUGUAGAUCUUAUUGAGAUACAUGUGUGUGUCAAUUUUUGUGUCAAUAUGACAAAGCGUACAGGCGUGACAGUCAAUAGUGUGAAUUUCCACCUUAGGGGGCGCUAUGGAGCCAUUUUGCAUUUUAUUGUUUGGGCGACUUCAGAAUAUCGAAUUUUUCACCAGGCCCGGUCGUCCUGCCAAAUUUCAUGAGUUUUCGCCAGUGGGAAGUGGGCCAUUUUCCAGUUUAAAGCGGAGGAAAAAUAAUAAUAAUAAUAACAAAAGAAGAAUCCAUCAGGAACAAGAGGGCUCUCGCAGCUGCUUAGCAGCUACGCUCGGGCCCUAAAAAGAAGGAAACAUGCAGGAACAAGAGGGCUCUCGCAGCUGCUUAGCAGCUACGCUCGGGCCCUAACAAAAGAAGAAUCCAUCAGGAACAAGAGGGCUCUCGCAGCUGCUUAGCAGCUACGCUCGGGCCCUAAAGAAAGAAAGAAACAAAGAAAAACCACUUGGGGAAUAAUAGGGCUCUCGCAGCUGCUUAGCAGCUACGCUCGGGCCCUAAGAAAGAAAGAAACAAAGAAACAAAGAAAAACCACUUGGGGAAUAAUAGGGCUCUCGCAGCUGCUUAGCAGCUACGCUCGGGCCCUAAAGAAAGAACUAGGGCCCCGGUGGGGCACUGGCGGGCCCGAGCCGUGUCGCGCCGCCCCCAGCGCGACCGCCUCCCCCUCCCUAUCGCGUCACACUCAAGGUCCUCAAGGACCACUUGUCUGUGGUCAUUUACCAUUAUAAUGAAUGGGAUGCGCAGUUUCUACCACAAUGCUUGCUGCAGACAAACUACAUGUCCUAUUUGAAAAAAGUGUGGACCAUGAGUGAGGGCACAAACACAGCUAAGAUAUAUCCAAAUGGCAAGUUGCUCCUCUUUUUGGUUUUGCCGAGAGAGCGAUGCGUUUGAGCCAUUGAGCGAUGGGCAGGAAAAACUUGACUUUUUCUCCUCCCAUGGGGGGGCGCUCUUUUGGGGAAACAUAAUUCCUUCACAAAUGUGUUGCUGGCUGGACAUUGCAUCAUCCUAGAAAACUUGGAGGCCAGUGAGGACAAAAAUAAAAAGUUAUAAGACUUUUAAAUAUGUGGAUUUUUGGGUUAUCUUUGGCGCCCCCUAGAACCUAAACCGUGGGGUGCAGCGUCAUGAUUUGAAUAACUUUUAAUGACCAUGGGGUGUAGAUUGGCCUGAGCAAAUGUGGUGCCGGUGGAACCAAAGCCUUCGGAGGAGUUAGCGAAAUUCCAAUGUGUGCAGAUCGGCAAAAAAUGCGGAAUAACCCUUUAACCGUACAUUUGACAGAUACGCGCGCAUUGACUUUUUAUAGAUCUUAUUGAGAUACAUGUGUGUGUCAAUUUUUGUGUCAUUUUGACAAAGCGUACAGGCGUGACACUCUACAAUGUGUAUUUUCACCUUAGGGGACAAGAAAAAAUGGACUUUUUUCUCCUGCCAUGGGGGGGGCGCUCUUUUGGGGAGUAAAAAUUCCUUCACAAAUGUGUUGACGGCUGGACAUUGCAUCAUCCUAGAAAACUUGGAGGCCAGUGGGGACAACAAUAAAAAGUUAUAAGACUUUUAAAUAUGUGGAUUUUACGGUUAUCUUUGGCGCCCCCUAGAACCUAAACCGUGGGGUGCAGCGUCAUGAUUUGAAUAACUUUUAAUGGCCAUGGGGUGUAGAUUGGCCUGAGCAAAUUUGGUGUCAGUGGGACAAAAGGCCAGUGAGGACAAAAAUAAAAAGUUAUAAGACUUCAAAAAAUGUGGAUAUUUGGGUCAUCUUUGGCGCCCCCUAGAACGUAAACCGUGGGGUGCAGCGUCAUGAUUUGAAUAACUUUUAAUGGCCAUGGGGUGUAGAUUGGCCUGAACAAAUGUGGUGCCGGUGGAACGAAAGCCUUAGGAGGAGUUAGCCACAUUCCAAUGUGUGCGGAUCAGCAAAAAAUGCGGAAUAACCCUUUAACCGUACAUUUGACAGAUACGCGCGCAUUGACUUUUUCGUAGAUCUUAUUGAGAUACAUGUGUGUGUCAAUUUUUGUGUCAUUUUGACAAAGCGUACAGGCGUGACACUCAACAAUGUGUAUUUUCACCUAAGGGGACAAGAAAAAAUGGACUUUUUUCUCCUGCCAUGGGGGGGGGCGCUCUUUUGAGGAGUAAAAAUUCCUUCACAAAUGUGUUGAUGGCUGGACAUUGCAUCAUCCAAGAAAACUUGGAGGCCAGUGAGGACAAAAAUAAAAAGUUAUAAGACUUUUAAGAAUGUGGAUAUUUGGGUCAUCUUUGGCGCCCCCUAGAACGUAAACCGUGGGGUGCAGCGUCAUGAUUUGAAUAACUUUUAAUGGCCAUGGGGUGUAGAUUGGCCUGAGCAAAUGUGGUGCCGGUGGAACGAAAGCCUUCGGAGGAGUUAGCGAAAUUCCAAUGUGUGCGGAUCGACAAAAAAUGCGAAAUAACCCUUUAACCGUACAUUUGACAGAUACGCGCACAUUGACUUUUUCGUAGAUCUUAUUGAGAUACAUGUGUGUGUCAAUUUUUGUGUCAUUUUGACAAAGCGUACAGGCGUGACACUCAACAAUGUGUAUUUUCACCUUAGGGGACAAGAAAAAAUGGACUUUUUUCUCCUGCCAUGGGGGGGCGCUCUUUUGGGGAGUCAAAAUUCCUUCACAAAUGUGUUGAUGGCUGGACAUUGCAUCAUCCUAGAAAACUUGGAUGCCAGUGAGGACAAAAAUAAAAAGUUAUAAGACUUUUAAAUAUGUGGAUUUUAGGGUUAUUUUUGGCGCCCCCUAGAACAUAAACCGUGGGGUGCAGCGUCAUGAUUUGAAUAACUUUUAAUGGCCAUGGGGUGUAGAUUGGCCUGAGCAAAUGUGGCGCUGGUGGAACGAAAGCCUUCGGAGGAGUUAGCGAAAUUCCAAUGUGUGCGGAUCGGCAAAAAAUGCGAAAUAACCCUUUAACCGUACAUUUGACAGAUACGCCCGCACUGACUUUUUUGUAGAUCUUAUUGAGAUACAUAUGUGUGUCAAAUUUUGUCUCAAUAUGACAAAGCGUACAGGCGUGACAGUCAAUAGUGUGAAUUUACACCUUAGGGGGCGCUAUGGAGCCAUUUUGCAUUUUCUUGUUUGGGUGACUUCGGAAUAUCAAAUUUUUAGCCAGGCCCGGUCGUCCUGCCAAAUUUCAUGAGUUUUCGCCAGUGGGAAGUGGGCCAUUUUCCAGUUCAAAGGGGAGGAAAAAGAAGAAACUAGGACCCCGUUGGGGCACUGGCGGGCCCGAGCUGUGUCGCGUCCCCCCCCCAACGCGCUGCCUCCCCGUCCCAUUUGUGUCCUCUGGCCAUCGCCCUCUCUGGUAACGCCCAUCACUGCAAAGACCCUUUUCCUUCAUCGGCGUUUGCUGUUCUUCCUGCCAGUGCUUUUUGCUUUCACUUACACUUGCCACAGCCAGCCUCGUGAGUGCCUAGCCUAUUGGAUAUUACUGUCACCUACACAGGACAGUCAUUACCUUUCUAUUAAUACUUUGUUUUUUAAUUUCACAUUAAUUUCCAUAUUGUAUAAACAACUGGAAAAAACUUGAGCCCCUGCCCCUGUAUAAUCAUGUGCACGUCUCUGUUCUAGCUCUAAGGUGAAUCUUCACUGCUCAUGUUCUCCUCAGAAGCAGUCACCUCACUCCCCUCAGGUUACUGUACACAUGCACCAACUGCCUGCUUCAGGUUUGGAUGGAGCUUCAUGGUUGUCUUUUGGAGAAAUGACCAGUCAAGUUGUGUUUGAAAUUUGAUUUUUUUCAGGGGCAAAAGGAGCCUCUGCAUUCUUGUCAAAUAUGUAAAUAGCAUGUUUUUGCAGGUGCUAAAAACCAGACUCUGAGUGUGUGUGAGGCGUGUGUGUGUGUGUCUGUGUGUGUGUGUGUGUGUGUGUGUGCGUUCAAGUCACAUGACAUAUU